rnacentral:lncRNA from 1 species
AAUUUUCUAAGUUAGGUUAGUGGUUUUAGCCAAAGCCAAAAUUAUGAGAAAUAACAUGUUUAUAUAGACUUGAUAGGUGAAUGAUCAUCCUUGGAUUGUGAUCCAAAUAAUUGGUUUUAUCAAUGGUUAAAAAUUAAUUUAAGCUCAAGUUGCGGAUCACCAAUUUCAACCAUAGGAUUAAUAAUUAAGAGUGACUAGGAUUAAGUGAAAAAAUAAAAGUUGAG